rnacentral:rRNA from 1 species
GACGAACGCUGGCGGCGUGCUUAACACAUGCAAGUCGAACGGGAGGAAAAGAGAAGCUUGCUUCUUUUUGAAUCUAGUGGCAAACGGGUGAGUAACACGUAAACAACCUGCCUUCAGGAUGGGGACAACAGACGGAAACGACUGCUAAUACCGAAUGUGUUCCGGAGACCGCAUGAUUUCCGGAAGAAAGGAUGGCCUCUAUUUAUAAGCUAUCGCCUGAAGAGGGGUUUGCGUCUGAUUAGGCAGUUGGUGAGGUAACGGCCCACCAAACCUACGAUCAGUAGCCGGUCUGAGAGGAUGAACGGCCACACUGGAACUGAGACACGGUCCAGACUCCUACGGGAGGCAGCAGUGGGGAAUCUUCCGCAAUGGACGAAAGUCUGACGGAGCAACGCCGCGUGAGUGAUGACGGCCUUCGGGUUGUAAAGCUCUGUGAUCGGGGACGAAUGGCUGGUAUGCUAAUACCAUAUCAGAGUGACGGUACCCGAAUAGCAAGCCACGGCUAACUACGUG